GCGCUAAUACCGCAUAUUCUGUGAGCAGGAAAGCAGGGGACCGCAAGGCCUUGCGCUCUUUGAGCGGCCGAUGUCAGAUUAGCUAGUUGGUGAGGUAACGGCUUACCAAGGCGACGAUCUGUAGCGGGUCUGAGAGGAUGAUCCGCCACACUGGAACUGAGACACGGUCCAGACUCCUACGGGAGGCAGCAGUGGGGAAUUUUGGACAAUGGGCGCAAGCCUGAUCCAGCCAUGCCGCGUGAGUGAAGAAGGCCUUCGGGUUGUAAAGCUCUUUCGGCCGGGAAGAAAUCGCAUGGGUUAAUACCCUGUGUGGAUGACGGUACCGGAAUAAGAAGCACCGGCUAACUACGUG
rnacentral:rRNA from 1 species